CAGGAAAAUGUUAAUUAAUCUUGACCAAAGAUAAAAGUCUGGUUAUAGCAAUUUCAUAUUUAACCAUUAAUAGCAUCUAAAAGGUUAAUAUAAUUUUUAGGCAGAGGAGGUCUGUCACUUAAGGUGCUACCCACAAGCUUAUAGGACAGGAUAUGAAAGGACUAAAGUUCCUUGUCAUUACAUUAAAACCUGUAUUAUCAAUGUUCCAAAUUCUAAAUUCUAGUCUGUGAAAACAAUGGCAGAAACAUUUUGACAAUUUCAAUGCAAAAAAAGUUGUAGAGCUGAGUCCUAAGGACUUUAUCUGUAAAACAGAAGCCCUUUGCUAAAUGACCUAGAUUUAUCAUCAAGAUUAGUUUUGAAAUACUUAAAUGAAUGUGGUUGCUUCUAGGAAAGUACUGACGAGUACAAGGAAACAAAUCUUGAAAUGUAGAUGGCACACACCUUCAGUGUUUUUCCCCUCCCUACUCAUCAUAUAUCCUAAUUCCCAUCAGCACCUGCUGACAGAUGCUGGCAUAGCGAGCCAGAGCAUUGGCAUUUUCUUGGAUAGCAAGGCUGGAGGGACACUGGUCAGCGAUCCUCAACACAGCACGCCACUUCCCAAAGUCAACUCCGUCUUUCUUGUACUGAGCACAGCGUUCAGAGAGGCCAUCAAGUCCUGCAAGUCACAACAGAAAGAGGGGAGGGGCUUCUUUGUACCUUGUGCCUAGUCCCUGGGGUUUCUUAUUUAGUAAAGGACUUUUCCAGUG